AGCUCUGUAAGCGUAUACCAAAGUUGUUGCAGUUAAAACGCUCGUAGUCGGAUUUUGGCAAUUCCGGAUGUGUGCGCGUCGUGCGCGCACUUUGCAGGGAUUGCUUUUGUGGGUAUGCGUGGGAUGAUGCAACUUUAUUGUUGAACGUCCCUACGCAACCACUCUUUACUGUGAGAAAAUUAGAGUGUUCAAAGCAGGCAAUUGCCGUGAAUACAUUAGCAUGGAAUAAUAGAAUAGGACUCUGUCUUAUUUUGUUGGUUUGUUAAUUCGGAGUAAUGAUUAAGAGGGACAGUUGGGGGCAUUUGUAUUUCGGCGCUAGAGGUGAAAUUCUUAGAUUGCCGAAAGACAAACUGCUGCGAAAGCGUCUGCCAAGGAUGUUUUCAUUGAUCAAGAACGAAAG
rnacentral:rRNA from 1 species